GUGCUUGCUUCGGCAGCACAUAUACUAAAAUUGGAACUAUAGAGAGAAAAUCGACAUGGCCCUUGUGCAAGGAUGACACCCAAAUUUAUGAACUGCUCCAUAUUUUU
ensembl:snRNA Gm25851 predicted gene, 25851